AUUGAACGCUGGCGGCAUGCCUUACACAUGCAAGUCGAACGGUAACAGGUCUUCGGAUGCUGACGAGUGGCGAACGGGUGAGUAAUACAUCGGAACGUGCCCGAUCGUGGGGGAUAACGGAGCGAAAGCUUUGCUAAUACCGCAUACGAUCUACGGAUGAAAGCAGGGGGCCGCAAGGCCUUGCGCGGACGGAGCGGCCGAUGGCAGAUUAGGUAGUUGGUGGGAUAAAAGCUUACCAAGCCGACGAUCUGUAGCUGGUCUGAGAGGACGACCAGCCACACUGGGACUGAGACACGGCCCAGACUCCUACGGGAGGCAGCAGUGGGGAAUUUUGGACAAUGGGCGAAAGCCUGAUCCAGCCAUGCCGCGUGCAGGAUGAAGGCCUUCGGGUUGUAAAGCACUUUUGGCGGGAACGAAACGGCGCUGGUUAAUACCUGGCGCUAAUGACGGUACCCGCAGAAUAAGCACCGGCUAACUACGUG
rnacentral:rRNA from 1 species